rnacentral:rRNA from 1 species
UGGGGAAUAUUGGACAAUGGACCAAAAGUCUGAUCCAGCAAUUCUGUGUGCACGAUGACGUUUUUCGGAAUGUAAAGUGCUUUCAGUUGGGAAGAAAAAAAUGACGGUACCAACAGAAGAAGUGACGGCUAAAUACGUGCCAGCAGCCGCGGUAAUACGUAUGUCACAAGCGUUAUCCGGAUUUAUUGGGCGUAAAGCACGUCUAGGUGGUUAUGUAAGUCUGAUGUGAAAAUGCAGGGCUCAACUCUGUAUUGCGUUGGAAACUGCAUGACUAGAGUACUGGAGAGGUAAGCGGAACUACAAGUGUAGAGGUGAAAUUCGUAGAUAUUUGUAGGAAUGCCGAUGGGGAAGCCAGCUUACUGGACAGAUACUGACGCUAAAGCGCGAAAGCGUGGGUAGCAAACAGGAUUAGAUACCCUGGUAGUCCACGCCGUAAACGAUGAUUACUAGGUGUUGGGGGUCGAACCUCAGCGCCCAAGCUAACGCGAUAAGUAAUCCGCCUGGGGAGUACGUACGCAAGUAUG